rnacentral:rRNA from 1 species
AUGAACGCUGGCGGCGUGCCUAAUACCUGCCAGUCGAGCGAACAGACGAGGAGCUUGCUCCUCUGACGUUAGCGGCGGACGGGUGAGUAACACGUGGAUAACCUACCUAUAAGACUGGGAUAACUUCGGGAAACCGGAGCUAUUACCGGAUAAUAUAUUGAACCGCAUGGUUCAAUAGUGAAAGACGGUUUUGCUGUCACUUAUAGAUGGAUCCGCGCCGCAUUAGCUAGUUGGUAAGGUAACGGCUUACCAAGGCAACGAUGCGUAGCCGACCUGAGAGGGUGAUCGGCCACACUGGAACUGAGACACGGUCCAGACUCCUACGGGAGGCAGCAGUAGGGAAUCUUCCGCAAUGGGCGAAAGCCUGACGGAGCAACGCCGCGUGAGUGAUGAAGGUCUUCGGAUCGUAAAACUCUGUUAUUAGGGAAGAACAAAUGUGUAAGUAACUAUGCACGUCUUGACGGUACCUAAUCAGAAAGCCACGGCUAACUACGUG